GCUCACGUGAACACGCAUUCAGAGAUGACCGACUAUCUUGGGGCAAUGGCAAUCUGAGUGUCACAACAGGUGUCUCUAUGGAUGUAAAACUAAAGACUCCCCUGGCAGCAGCUACAGCACCCUGACUGCUCAUCCUCAUUCAGUCUUCAAGAGGCACAGGAGAGGCCACUUGAUAGCAGCGACUGAAUAAAACCAGAGGAAUACGAUCCUGAUGCUAAGCAGUCUGCUGUGGAGGCUGCAACUCAUUCCUCCCACCUCUGCUCCACCAAGGCUUCCUCCUCUUCAACCAAGUUCUGAUUUUGUGGCUCUUGCGUGGUUCCACCAAAAUGAUGGGGGCAAAGCAGUGAACCCGAAUCAAAGCUGGAAAACAUCCCGGCGGGAACCUUUGAGUGAUGGCACGUCUGUGAUCUGUACCCACAGUUGAGUCAAAGCAGCCACCAGUACAUGUUUAAGACAGCAGUGGUGCUAUCUGGUCUACGUGAUUUGGAUUCUUCUAGAGCAGUAGUGAGCCUAAUGAUUUAAUAUUCUGAGGUUAUGCAGUAAAUCACAUCAAUCACCACUUGGGUCUCUCCUCUUCCUCAACUGACAAAAUGAUGUACGGUGGAGAAAAAUGAUGUAAUUGGGACCACAAGCUAAACUACCGUAUGUAAGGCCAGAGGCGAUCGGGUGUUGCUGUGUU